rnacentral:rRNA from 1 species
GACGAACCGUGCCGAACGUUAUUCGGAAUCACUUGGGCUUAAAAGAGUGCGUAGGCGGCUUUGCCAGGCGGGGUGUGAAAUACCUUCGGGCCCAACCGAAGAAUUGCGCUCCGAACCGGCAGGCUCGAGGAAGAUAGGGGCGAGCGGAACGAGAUGGUGGAGCGGUGAAAUGCGUUGAUAUCAUCUGGAACACCUGUGGCGAAAGCGGCUCGCUGGGU